GAAUUACAAGCCAUGAACUACUUGGCUCUUCUGUCAGACAGCUCGUGUUUUGGUGCUAGUGCAAAUAAAGCAAAGUUCAUACAACAGCGGCUGUGAGUUUAAAAAGACACCACUUGUACAGAUGCAGCUAGCCUUGACUUAAGCGUCGUCUGCAGCAACUUGAAGUGUGAUAUUUCAGCAGCAAAAGGAAGGAGCUGUACCCUGAACUAUAGCACAUUAUAUUUUUACAGUAUGUGUGAUGUUUUCUUUCUACCCAAAUGACUGUUGUGUUUCAAUCACUUGCAGCUGUGUUUGAAUAAAACAAUUUCAUACUUUUGUGUUUUUACCUGGAAAACAAAUACACUUAAGAACAUUAAUGGUUUGGCCUGGCUUCUUUUUAAAGAAGGAACAGAAUGAGGUAAGAACAGGCAAAGUGGUGUUGAUAAAUGUUUGUGGAAGCAUGCAGGGAAGACAUUGUCACCUUUGGAGACUUUCUUUUAACUUAAAUUUGGGUACUGCGCCUAAAAUACGAUCAAAUAGCUUAAAAUGAGAUCUGAAAACCAAGAUGGUUGCAGUAGUGUGAGAGUGUCAUUUUGCUUUUAGCAAAAAGUGUGUGCUUUUAAGCAUCUCUAUACUACUUGUAUAGCAUUUAGUACAACAGAGUGGAUAAGUAUUGAACAGUAUACAAGUGUGAAGCUGUACCUGCUAGGUUCCAUCCUGCUAACAACCAACAGAGUUGGUAGGAUGUCGCUAUUUUAAGGUCUAACUUAGCAGCCAACACCACUACUUCCCCUUAAAGCUCAAUCAUGGCCUUGGAUAAAAUGGGAACUGUCUAUAUGCUGCUUUCAGCUCCUUGAAGGAAGAAUGACAUACGGAUUUGAUAAGACAUGUUGCGGGGGUCAACAACUGUUAAGUGUUUUGGCUGAGAUGUCUGCUGGGAAGGCCCUUUAACCCUUCAGGAUUCUCAUAAAUAGGAAGAGUAUUUAUUCAAAUACCACCAAAUUCAAAAAGGAUUCAGGACAGCUAAUAGACAUUUUAUAUACAUAAAAUACAUAAUUGUCUUUGAAAUAUGAAAAAGUGCAUCCUUUUAUUUUUUCCAAGCUGGGAAAUGGUGAGCAAAUAAUUUGCAUUAUCUACUGGAUCCUUGCUCCAGUGUCCCAAGGAGGAGACAAGUGCCUACUCUUGCCAGCCAGGGGUGGCAAGAAGGUGUGGGGCAGGGAGCUUCACCCACCAGCUAAAUUAGUUGCCAAGAGGGAUGCAAGUGGCAAGACUAAAUGAUUGGCGACGGUGGCAGUGAGAUUAUUCAGUUGUUAUAAAGAAGUGAGCUGACUUGGGGAAAUUGAGAGAGGGGCUGUUCCAAGUGUAGGAUAUGCAUAGUGUUCUAUACCACAGUGUACAGAACAUUCAUAGAGGUGAAAAGCCUUAAACAAGAACCAUGGCAGUUGAUGUAGAAAGCAAGGCAGUUAUGAUAAUGGUGACAAAAUACUCACAAGGACAACCGUAAAAUUUCUACACUCCAGUAGAGCUAAGCAAACCAUUCACUACCACAGUCUUUCACAUGUUAUACACCGCAGAGAGGGAUAACUCCCUAAUCUUUCGAACAGAAAUGUGUACAAAGUAAGGAUUGAUUUUGUGUGUUUUUAAAUCCCAAUUAUCAAAAGUUAGGAGAAAUUAACUUAUAAUUCUUAAAUCUCUGACUGGAAUAUCGUGCUACAGGUGGUUGCUUUUGUGUAUAUCUGCAUUGUCAUUUCAGAAUGCUUCUCAUUAACUAUUACUGAACUCAUUUUUUUUUUAAUUGACUUCCUUCUGAUUUUCUACUUACCUUGCUUCUGAGACAUCUAAAUUCUGAAAUUGUGACAUUAUCUAUUGCCAUGGAAACAAGUUGGAGAGUAACAGUGGUUUGACCUGUCUAACUAUAAAAAGCAUAUCAGGUGUCAGUUGUGCAACAUACAGAAUAAAAAUCCAUGACCAGU